rnacentral:rRNA from 1 species
AACUAACGCUGGCGGCGUGCCCAACACAUGCAAGUCGAACGAGAAAGCCGCAAGGUGAGUAAAGUGGCGGACGGGUGCGUAACACGUGGGUAAUCUACCUAUUGGCUUGGGAUAACAGUCCGAAAGGAUUGCUAAUACCGGAUAAGACCACAGCCCUGCGGGGUGGUGGGAAAAGGUGCUCGCAAGGGUGCCACUGAUUGAUGAGCCCGCGGCCUAUCAGCUAGUUGGCGGGGUAAUGGCCCACCCAAGGCUACGACGGGUAACUGGUCUGAGAGGACGACCAGUCACACUGGAACUGAGACACGGUCCAGACUCCUGCGGGAGGCAGCAGUGGGGAAUAUUGCGCAAUGGACGAAAGUACUGACGCAGCAACGCCGCGUGGGUGAUGAAGGCC